ensembl:lncRNA
AUAAAAGCCGUGGCCUCUGCCCAUCUGCUCAUUGCCCAGUCCACUCCUCAGCUCUCCAGAUGUGUGGCUCAGGAGGGAGACAUGGAUGAAAUGGAAGCGGCUAUGCACGGCAGGAGGCUGGCCAGGAGCACCCAGGGAGACAAGGCCCCUCCCACAGGGAAGACCAAGGGACUGACUCCAAGGGAAAUGUGUUUUGAAGAGAAGGAGUAUGAUUGCCAUCCCUAUGAAAGGCGGAGAAAGAAGGGAAUCCUAGAGACUGCAGAGGCCUCUCACAGCAGAGAAGGGAUCACCAGGCCGAGCCUGGCGGCCAAGGGCUCCAGGCGCAAGCGCAGGAGAAGCCCUGAGGGCUCCCCUGGCAGUAGCUACCAAGAAAACGGACACAGAGAAGCGAAGGUGAGGAGACGACCAUCCCCAGUUAAGGGGAGACCAAAGGACAAGCACGACCCCAGCAGAGCAGGAUGUCCGUGCAGAGCAGGUUCUGCCCACACCGCCCCGCAACUCAAGAACAGGAGGACCCUGCCCGGGUCUCCAGAGAGGACCGCCGGCCGCGGACGCCGCCAGGACAGGCGGGAGGCCGGGCCCGCCUCCCCAAAGUGCCGCCGCCACCUGUCGCCAGAAGCCCGCGCGCCCCUGUCGGGGCCCCUGUCCCGGCUCUUCAACCACGUGGGCGCGCUGGACGUGGCCCUGGGCGAGCUGCGGGCUCCCGGGGGCGCCUUCCUGCCGCUGCCCGCCCGCGGCCCGCAGCCGGCCGCCUCGCAGCGCGCCUGGCUCUCCUGGCAGCUGGCGCAGGCGGGGGCGACCCUGCACGGGGCGGGCGCGGCGCUCGACGCCCUGCUCGCCGCCGCUCAGCCCCGGCCCGCCUGCCCGCAGCCCUCCCUGCCGGCGGCUCCGCGGCCGUAGGGGCCGCGCCCCGAGCCCUAGCCCGCGUCCUCGCCCUUCCCCGGGCCGCUCCCGUCUGCCCCGGAGCCCGUCCAGACUCUGCCCUCCCGACUCCCCGAGCAAGGGUCCGUGGCGGCAUCUUGCACACCCAGGCGACGAGCUCCCUCCCACAGCGCGACACCAUCCACCUGUCUGGGAAACAGUGUUAGGCACCGACCAGACCUCCCUCCCUUCCUACCGGAUCCCCGCUCAGGGAAAGGGCUCCUCCUUUCCAGAAGACAGCGAAGAUGAGCGCUCAGAGGAAAACCUUUCUUCUCUUCUGGUGCCUCAGAUUAUCGAGAGUGACGCGAUUUGUGCCUUUUCAUCCCUUGAUGUUUUCCUAUUUAAGUUCAAAAGUAAAAUGCUUGAUAUAUGUAUGUAUAUAUAUAUGUGUGUGUAUAUAUAUAUAUAUAUAUUUCCGCCGUGGCUUCUACUGUAAAGCACAAUUGUCUUUGGUUUUUACUAGAGAUUGGGUUUCUUCAAGGUGAAAGCAUAGAGAUAUAGCUUGAGCAAAUCUUCAACUGAAUGAGCAAUCUGGAUUACAUAAAGGAUUUUGCAGGGGUUUUUGGUGUUGAAGUUAAAGUCACAUGCUUCCUUAGUUAUGGAUCACUAUGUUCUACAUGUCCUGCAAUAAUUUUUUUAAGAUUUCAAACCUUGGCCACUGAGAAUAUAUAAAUGUCCUCGCGAGUGUUCUUUGGUGUCCUGAAUCUUUCAUUCAUCCUUUAUUUUCAUAUUUCAGUCAUUCCUACUUUUAUUCUAUGCCUCUUCAUUGUUUCAACUUUAAAGAGAUUUUACCUAUAUACCUAGAAUGCACAGUGGUGUAAGUGCACGCAUCAAUAAAAUGUUCACAAAUAUAUACAAACCCAGGUAACCACACUCC